rfam:Haloferax sp. SB29 contig_4, whole genome shotgun sequence.
GCCGCCGUAGCUCAGUUGGUAGAGCACCUCGCUGUUAGGGAUUGCAGUUUCGGCUGCCGUCCGCAGACACGAGGUUGUCCCAGGUUCGAGUCCUGGCGGUGGCG